rnacentral:piRNA from 1 species
UGAAUAAUGUCAUGAACGCUCAGGC